GAAUUUCCAGCUAACUAGUGCCUCUGCUUUCCCGGACUUUAAUUCUUGAGCCUUCAGGGUCAGAGUCUCUGGUAACUUAAUCUGUCUCUCCCUCCCCCUAAUUUGUUCACUUCCUUCCUUUUGUUUGCCUCCUGAGCAGUAACCAAGUACCCAGGCUCAACUCCUGCAUUUGCUGGCUUCCAAACUCUUAAACUAAACACUUGUGUAAAUCUGGCAGGAGGUGGGUGCUCUGUUGAGAGCAUAGGAAUCUGAAAUACUCCUUUGUGGCAGUUUUCAACCUUUAAUUCACAGGUAUCAAUUGCAACAAAGGUAAGUAUGAAAAGGAAGUAUGUUAGUAGCAGCCUAAAUUUGCCAUGCAAGCAUCCCAGUCUUCAAACAGGUAGAUAGGAAGACAGAGACUGAAAAAUAGACAGACAAAAAUUAACCAAAUGUGUAGGAAUAUGAAAAGGGCUAAAAACUGCUCUUAUCACAACAGACAGAGUGUCAGGAACAAGAGCAGUUUUCUCAGUGUUUAGGAAAGCAGUCCUGAAGAAAAGAAGUCAAGAAGGGCUGGCUCACAGCAGAAGACGUAAAAUACAACAGUUACACCUUCUUGGACCAAGAACUCUGUGUGAUUCCAUCCUGCAGACCACCAUGCAGUUUCCUGUUGAUCUGAGACUGUUUCCUUCUGUGGACAAUGAAGAGGAAGAGAGGCUCAGAGGAGUCGGUCCUUGGCCUGAAUAAUUCUCAUGUCUCCCUGGUGCCUGUAUCCUACAGUUAAUCAUAGCAGUUACCAUUUGAGACUUAG
rnacentral:lncRNA from 1 species